rnacentral:rRNA from 1 species
ACUCAAAGGAAUUGACGGGGACCCGCACAAGCAGAGGAGGAUGUGGUUUAAUAUGACGCUACGCGUAGAACCUUACCGAGGCUUGACAUCUUAGGAAUCCGCUGGAAACAGUGGAGUGCCUUCGGGAGCCUAAUGACAGGUACUGCAUGGCCGUCGUCAGCUCGUGUCGUGAGAUGUUGGGUUAAGUCCCGCAACGAGCGCAACCCUUAUCGUAUGUUGGAUUUUUCAUGCGAGACUGCCCGGGCCAACCGGGAGGAAGGUGAGGAUGACGUCAGGUCGGCAUGGUCCUUACGCCUCGGGCCACACACGUCCUACAAUGGCCGGUACAACGCGCCGCGAAGCCGCGAGGCGGAGCUAAUCGUACCAAAACCGGUCUCAGUUCGGAUUGGAGGCUGCAACUCGCCUCCAUGAAGUCGGAUUUGCUAGUAAACGUAGGUCAGCACACUACGUUGAAUACGUUCCCGGGUCUUGUACACACCGCCCGU